AAUCGUUGGAUCGCGGGGGAUACUGCUUGGCUAGGGGACGAGAGAGGCAGACGGUAUUUUCGGGGUAGGGGUGAAAUCCUAUAAUCCCGGGAAGACCACCAGUGGCGAAGGCUGUCUGCUAGAACGCGCCCGACGGUGAGGGAUGAAAGCUGGGGGGAGCGAACCGGAUUAGAUACCCGGGUAGUCCCAGCUGUAAACGAUGCAGACUAGGUGUUUGGACGGCCACGUGCCGUUCUAGUGCCGCAGGGAAGCUGUUAAGUCUGCCGCCUGGGGAGUACGAUCGCAAGAUUGAAACUUAAAGGAAUUGGCGGGGGAGCACCACAAGGGGUGAAGCUUUGCGGUUUAAUUGGAGUCAACGCCGGAAAUCUCACCGGGAGCGACAGCAGUAUGAAAGCCAGAUUGAACGGUCUUGCUAGACGAGCUGAGGAGAGGUGCAUGG
rnacentral:rRNA from 1 species